UGUGUAGGCGGUUGUUUAAGUUUGGUGUGAAAUCUCCCGGCUCAACCGGGAGGGUGCGCCGAAUACUGAGCGACUAGAGUGCGGGAGAGGAGAGUGGAAUUCCUGGUGUAGCGGUGAAAUGCGUAGAUAUCAGGAGGAACACCGGCGGUGCAGACGGCUCUCUGGACCGUGACUGACGCUGAGACACGAAAGCGUGGGUAGCAAACAGGAUUAGAUACCCUGGUAGUCCACGCCCUAAACGAUGCAUAUUUGGUGUGGGUCAUUCAGUUGAUCCGUGCCGGAGCUAACGCGUUAAAUAUGCCGCCUGGGGAGUACAGUCGCAAGGCUGAA
rnacentral:rRNA from 1 species